UUCCACCUCCAGUGACUCCCUGCAGGGAGAAUGUUGGCUUUACCAGUGUCCACACUAACGAGGUGACUCCCUGCAGGGAGAAUGUUGGCUUUACCAGUGUCCACACUAACGAGGUGACUCCCUGCAGGGAGAAUGUUGGCUUUACCAGUGUCCACACUAACGAGGUGACUCCCUGCAGGGAGAAUGCUGGCUUUACCAGUGUCCACACUAACGAGGUGACUCCCUGCAGGGAGAAUGUUGGCUUUACCAGUGUCCACACUAACGAGGUGACUCCCUGCAGGGAGAAUGUUGGCUUUACCAGUGUCCACACUAACGAGGUGACUCCCUGCAGGGAGAAUGUUGGCUUUACCAGUGUCCACACUAACGAGGUGACUCCCUGCAGGGAGAAUGUUGGCUUUACCAGUGUCCAAACUAACGAGGUGACUCCCUGCAGGGAGAAUGUUAGCUUUACCAGUGUCCACACUAACGAGGUUUCAGUGUUUGAAAACUGAGAACAGCUCACUGCACAUCAAGGAUGUUUAGAUAUAGAUCAACUCUGGCAGUUCCGGACAAACGAUGACCAUAAUGGCAGGUUAGAUAAUCCGCGCCUAUGACACUUGCAGUGGACAUACCCUCGCGUGUCCAGGCGAGGUCAAGACGUCGACACACCACA